rnacentral:misc_RNA from 1 species
UAAUAAGUGUUUUAUGGCACUUUUUAAAUCCAUAUCCACCUUGUGUGCAAUGUCAGUCGAUCUUCUUCAUGGAGAUCGACCAAAACAUCAACCUUUAUCUUUUAACUCUUUGUCUGAAAAAUAUUAUGAAUAAACAAUUCAAAAUA